rnacentral:rRNA from 1 species
AGACGAGGAGCUUGCUCCUCUGACGUUAGCGGCGGACGGGUGAGUAACACGUGGAUAACCUACCUAUAAGACUGGGAUAACUUCGGGAAACCGGAGCUAAUACCGGAUAAUAUAUUGAACCGCAUGGUUCAAUAGUGAAAGACGGUUUUGCUGUCACUUAUAGAUGGAUCCGCGCCGCAUUAGCUAGUUGGUAAGGUAACGGCUUACCAAGGCAACGAUGCGUAGCCGACCUGAGAGGGUGAUCGGCCACACUGGAACUGAGACACGGUCCAGACUCCUACGGGAGGCAGCAGUAGGGAAUCUUCCGCAAUGGGCGAAAGCCUGACGGAGCAACGCCGCGUGAGUGAUGAAGGUCUUCGGAUCGUAAAACUCUGUUAUUAGGGAAGAACAAAUGUGUAAGUAACUAUGCACGUCUUGACGGUACCUAAUCAGAAAGCCACGGCUAACUACGUGCCAGCAGCCGCGGUAAUACGUAGGUGGCAAGCGUUAUCCGGAAUUAUUGGGCGUAAAGCGCGCGUAGGCGGUUUUUUAAGUCUGAUGUGAAAGCCCACGGCUCAACCGUGGAGGGUCAUUGGAAACUGGAAAACUUGAGUGCAGAAGAGGAAAGUGGAAUUCCAUGUGUAGCGGUGAAAUGCGCAGAGAUAUGGAGGAACACCAGUGGCGAAGGCGACUUUCUGGUCUGUAACUGACGCUGAUGUGCGAAAGCGUGGGGAUCAAACAGGAUUAGAUACCCUGGUAGUCCACGCCGUAAACGAUGAGUGCUAAGUGUUAGGGGGUUUCCGCCC